rnacentral:rRNA from 1 species
AUGGCCCUGGCCGCCGCCUCCCCCGUCGACGUCCUCGGCGACGACCUGCUGCAGGAGGUCUUCGUCCUGCUCCCGGGCCCCGCCGACCUCCUCCGCGCCGCGCUCGCCUGCCGGCCCUUCCUCCGCGCCGCCCGCAGCGCCGCCUUCCUCCGCCGCUUCCGCCGCCGCCACCCCUUCACCUGCCCGCUCCUCCUCGGCUGCCACCUCGGCCCCCCUCUCCUGCUCCCCGCUCCUCCCAUCGCCGCCACGCGCCGCGUCGCCGAGCGCGGCGACUUCGCCCUCUCCUUCAUCCCCCGCCGCGGCCGGCCGGGCGCCGCCGGCGCCAGCACCCCGUGGCAGCUCCUCGACUGCCGCAACGGCCGCCUCCUGCUGCGCAGCAGGUCGUCCCAGGAGCUCGUCGUCGCCGACCCGCUGGCCCGGCGCUGGGUCUCGCUCCCCGCGCUCCCCGGCGACCACCCCGUGGGCUACGGCCUCGUCGCCGACGACGGCGACUACUCGGUGUUCCAGGCCGCCUGCAUUUCCCGAGUCGGCGACACCACCGAGUUGCGCGCCUUCCUCCUCUCCUCCGCCGAGCUCCGGUGGGCGGACGUGGGCGGCCUCGCGCAGCAGCCCAAUCUCGCGGCCUCCCGGGCGAUGCAAGCCAACCAGUCGCUGUACUGGACGCUAGUGGGUGGACAGCACAUGCUGGCGCUCAACACGGCGACGACGGAGCUCGUCGUGCUGCCGCUCCCGCCUUUCCUGCGGGAGCUCGGUUUCGACGUCAUCGAGAAGGGGGAGGACGUCGCCGGCGGGCUCCAUGUGCUCACCAUGCGUGGCUUCUGCAUCGAGGUUUGGGUCGGCGAGGACGACGGCGCCGGUGGCCUGGCGUGGACGCUGCUGGACAAGUCGGUGAGGUUCCACAGGGCGAUUGCAGAGAUGAUUGGCUCGGAACACUUUUACCAUCUCACACUGGAUGUCAUCGGGGUGGCUGCCGGUGUUGUGUUCUUGCGCAAUGGCAGUUGUCUGUUCUGCAUUCAUCUUGAGACUAUGAAGAUGACGAAGCUCUCUGAGAACGAGAGUUGCCCGUCUGCGCUGAUAUAUCCUUACACGAUAGCGUGGCCGCCAGUGUUCUUGAACCCUACUGAAGAAGGUGCUUGA